AGUGGGGAAUAUUGGACAAUGGGCGAAAGCCUGAUCCAGCAAUGCCGCGUGAGUGAUGAAGGCCCUAGGGUUGUAAAGCUCUUUUACCCGGGAUGAUAAUGACAGUACCGGGAGAAUAAGCCCCGGCUAACUCCGUGCCAGCAGCCGCGGUAAUACGGAGGGGGCUAGCGUUGUUCGGAAUCACUGGGCGUAAAGCGCACGUAGGCGGCUUUGUAAGUCAGAGGUGAAAGCCCGGGGCUCAACCCCGGAUGUGCCUUUGAGACUGCAGGGCUUGAACACGGGAGAGGUGAGUGGAAUUCCGAGUGUAGAGGUGAAAUUCGUAGAUAUUCGGAAGAACACCAGUGGCGAAGGCGGCUCACUGGACCGUUGUUGACGCUGAGGUGCGAAAGCGUGGGGAGCAAA
rnacentral:rRNA from 1 species